rnacentral:rRNA from 1 species
AAAGGCCUACCAAGGCGACGAUCCGUAACUGGUCUGAGAGGAUGAUCAGUCACACUGGAACUGAGACACGGUCCAGACUCCUACGGGAGGCAGCAGUGGGGAAUAUUGGACAAUGGGCGAAAGCCUGAUCCAGCCAUGCCGCGUGUGUGAAGAAGGUCUUCGGAUUGUAAAGCACUUUAAGUUGGGAGGAAGGGCAGUAAGUUAAUACCUUGCUGUUUUGACGUUACCAACAGAAUAAGCACCGGCUAACUUCGUGCCAGCAGCCGCGGUAAUACGGAAGGUCCGGGCGUUAUCCGGAUUUAUUGGGUUUAAAGGGAGCGUAGGCCGCCCCUUAAGCGUGUUGUGAAAUGCGGGUGCUCAACAUCCGACUUGCAGCGCGAACUGGGGGGCUUGAGUGCGCCGAAAGUAGGCGGAAUUCGUGGUGUAGCGGUGAAAUGCUUAGAUAUCACGAAGAACUCCGAUUGCGAAGGCAGCUUACUGUAGCGCAACUGACGCUGAUGCUCGAAAGCGUGGGUAUCGAACAGGAUUAGAUACCCUGGUAGUCCACGCGGUAAACGAUGGAUGCUCGUUGUCGGCCUUUGUGGUCGGUGACCAAGCGAAAGCGUUAAGCAUCCCACCUGGGGAGUACGCCGGCAACGGUGAAACUCAAAGGAAUUGACGGU